rnacentral:rRNA from 1 species
UACGUAGGGAGCAAGCGUUGUCCGGAAUCAUUGGGCGUAAGCGCGCGUAGGUGGCUUCGUAAGUCCGUUGUGAAAGUCAAAGGCUCAACCUUUGAAAGCCGAUGGAUACUGCGGAGCUAGAGUACGGAAGAGGCGAGUGGAAUUCCUGGUGUAGCGGUGGAAUGCGCAGAUAUCAGGAGGAACACCAGGUGGCGAAGGCGACUUCCUGGCCUGUUCUUGACGCUGAGGCGCGAAAGCUAGGGAG